rnacentral:rRNA from 1 species
GUCUCCCUACGGGGGGCAGCAGUGGGGAAUAUUGCACAAUGGGGGAAACCCUGAUGCAGCAACGCCGCGUGGGUGAAGGAGCGUUUCGGCGCGUAAAGCCCUGUCAGCGGGGAAGAAGAAAGACGGUACCCGACCAAGAAGCUCCGGCUAACUACGUGCCAGCAGCCGCGGUAAUACGUAGGGAGCAAGCGUUGUUCGGAAUGACUGGGCGUAAAGGGUGCGUAGGCGGAUGUAGAAGUUAGAAGUG